rnacentral:rRNA from 1 species
UCGCUGCCCGGGACUGAGCCGUUUCGAGAAGACUGGGGACGGCUGACUUUUGGCCUUAACGGGCUUUUGGUCGGCUGAAACCAUUUUAAUCGCAGCGGCUUGAACCGGGCAA